UGCCUUACACAUGCAAGUCGAACGGCAGCACGGGAGCGUUGCUCCUGGUGGCGAGUGGCGAACGGGUGAGUAAUAUAUCGGAACGUGCCCUAGAGUGGGGGAUAACUAGUCGAAAGAUUAGCUAAUACCGCAUACGAUCUACGGAUGAAAGUGGGGGAUCGCAAGACCUCAUGCUCGUGGAGCGGCCGAUAUCUGAUUAGCUAGUUGGUGAGGUAAAGGCUCACCAAGGCAUCGAUCAGUAGCUGGUCUGAGAGGACGACCAGCCACACUGGGACUGAGACACGGCCCAGACUCCUACGGGAGGCAGCAGUGGGGAAUUUUGGACAAUGGGGGCAACCCUGAUCCAGCAAUGCCGCGUGAGUGAAGAAGGCCUUCGGGUUGUAAAGCUCUUUUGUCAGGGAAGAAACGGUGAGGGCUAAUAUCCUUUGCUAAUGACGGUACCUGAAGAAUAAGCACCGGCUAACUACGUGCCAGCAGCCGCGGUAAUACGUAGGGUGCAAGCGUUAAUCGGAAUUACUGGGCGUAAAGCGUGCGCAGGCGGUUAUGCAAGACAGAUGUGAAACCCCCGGGCUCAACCUGGGAAUUGCAUUUGUGACUGUAUGGCUAGAGUGUGUCAGAGGGGGGUAGAAUUCCACGUGUAGCAGUGAAAUGCGUAGAU
rnacentral:rRNA from 1 species